AGUGCCUUUUGUGUGUCUUAGAUUUCAGAGUUAUUAAAGGGUUUAGCUGAGAGGAAAACAUCACCCAAUGAGAGCAUUCAUGCUAACAUCAGCCUCUCCAUCACCGAGCCAGGAACUUCUUACAACCAUGGGAACUUCAGAUUUAGAGCUGUCCUCCCUAAAAAACUCUGUCAGCUGUCCACGUGUCAGUAUAAGAGGCAAGAUCAUCUGAGAGAAAGCUUCAGUGCUCCGGUACUCGUUCUUUCCUGCAUCCCUGCUUCUCAGGCGGGACAAAAGCAACCCAUGUUAUCAUUCCCAGAUCCAGUCCUCUUUGCACACCUGGUGGAAAAAUCAGAGAUCCCUGCCUCUGACUCAGUCAUUCUUAUCAGAGAACAGCUUGAAGAGCAAGAGAUAUAUCCGUACAUCCUAGGAGUGCAUGCUUGGAGGAAACGGGAGCAAUGUGAACCACAGUGUCUGCUGCCUAAACAGUUUCCCCAAACUGGGACAACCAACAAAUGGUUCUUCAAGGACUUACUGGACCUCCAGAGGAAGCUGUUUUUGGGUGCCUCAAAGAAAUCUGGAGCCCUGAGGAAAUCUCAGACACCUUGGAAAACUUCACAUCACCAGUCAGAAUGUUCUUCUUAAAUGCUUAGGAAAGUUCAAGACUGACAGAAGAAAUAAACUGCAAAUGAAACUAGCACUAA